GCAUUCACUCUGGCAGUGCAUAUGUUCAAAUUGGAAUGAUAGAUUUUCACAAGCCCUGCAUGAGAAUGACACUCAAAUUCGUGAAGCAUUCCUUUUUUUU
ensembl:snRNA U6 U6 spliceosomal RNA